GACACUUGUGACUGUGAUUAAAAUAUAUUUAACAGGAUCUUAAACUAUUAACAAACACCCUUUGAACUUGACUGAAUAAAGUGACCCGCCUACGACAGGCGAAACAGUUUAUGCUUAUUUCCGUUCUACUGAAGCAUUAUACUUCUUUUGCGUUUGAGCGAAACAUAUGCCAAAAAUCCAACCCAGAUAGUCUGCGCACUAGGUUUGAGACACAACCUCUUCUCAUUUACACUCCUCAGAUCAGUCUCGCUAAUACAUUAAAUAUAAUUUCUACAGCCUUACAUUCAACGGACACGAGCGGACCUGACUUUAUUCCUUUAACGUAUAAUAAUAGUUAAUUUGGGAUUCUGUGUUGAUUCGAGCAGAAGUUUUGUUUGGGAUUUUGCAGGAGCUAAUGUUAGCCUGUUAGCUUUUAAUCUGUUCAUAAACCUCCCGUUACAUCAACAUGAAGAUCACAGUGGAUUUUGAGGAAUGUCUCAAAGAUUCACCCAGAUUCAGGGCAACGAUCGAGGAGGUUGAGGGUGACGUCUGUGAACUGGAGUCCAAGCUUGACAAGCUGGUAAAACUAUGCAUUGGAAUGAUAGAUGCUGGAAAGGCAUACAACACGGCCAACAAACAGUUUGUGAACGGCAUUCGUGAGCUUGCACAGCAGUCUGCCACAGAUGAUGUCAUAGAGUGUAGUCUUACCAAGUUUGCUGAGAGUCUUCAUGAAAUGAUCAACUAUCACACAAUUUUAUUUGACCAAGCACAACGAGCAAUUAAAUCACAACUUCAGCUGUUUGUGCGAGAGGACCUUCGAAGAUUUAAAGAAGCUAAGAAACAGUUCGACAAAGUGAGUGAAGAGAAAGAGGCGGCCCUGUCCAAAAAUGCCCAGGCACCUCGGAACAAACAGCAUGAGGUCGAUGAGGCCACCAACAUCCUCAAUGCCACGCGCAAGUGUUUCCGCCACAUCGUCCUGGACUACGUGCUGCAGAUUAAUGUGCUCCAGUCCAAGAGACGUUCAGAAAUCCUCAAAUCGAUGCUGUCAUUCAUGUACGCCCACCUGACGUUUUUCCAUCAAGGCUAUGAUCUAUUCAGUGAACUACAACCUCUCAUGAAGCACCUCACAUUACAGCUGGAUCAGCUGAUGGUGGAUGCAGCCAAAGAAAGAAAGGACAUGGAGGUGAAACACUCCACUAUACAGAAGAAGCAGUUCUUAAAGGGGUCUGUCUUUCCUCUGCGCUCAUGUGACGCCGGUUUGCAGGACUUUUCAAAUGAUGACACUAAAUUGGAGUAUAAUGUGGACGCUGAGAAUGGGAUUGUCAUGGAAGGAUAUUUGUUCAAGAGGGCCAGUAACGCCUUUAAAACAUGGAACAGGCGGUGGUUCUCCAUUCAAAACAAUCAGCUUGUAUACCAGAAGAAGUUUAAGGAUAAUCCUACAGUUGUAGUAGAGGACUUGCGACUAUGCACCGUCAAACAUUGCGAAGACAUCGAACGACGUUUCUGUUUUGAAGUUGUGUCUCCAACAAAGAGUUGUAUGAUGCAGGCAGACUCUGAGAAGCUCAGGCAGGCCUGGAUCAAAGCCGUCCAAAACAGCAUCGCAUCUGCUUUCAGGGACAGAGCAGAAGACGUCGAGAAGAUGGAAAAAAAGUCAUCUGCAUCUACAGGAAGUCUGGACUCGAGUGUUGAUACUCGUGAGAAAACUCUUAAAGGUGACAGCGAGCUGCAGAAGGUUAUGGCCAUCCCCGGUAAUAGCGUCUGCUGUGAUUGUGGGCAACCUGACCCGCGCUGGGCAAGCAUUAACCUGGGUAUCACUCUAUGCAUCCAAUGCUCUGGGAUACACAGGAGUCUUGGAGUUCACUUCUCUAAAGUCCGGUCUCUCACAUUGGACACAUGGGAACCUGAGUUGCUCAAGCUAAUGUGUGAGCUGGGAAAUGGUGCAAUUAAUCAGAUAUAUGAGGCACGUCGAGAAGAACUUGGAGCCAGGAAACCACAACCAGGAGAUCCUCGGCAAGAGAUUGAGGCUUACAUCAAAGCAAAGUAUGUUGAGCGAAGAUUUGUCCAAAGACGGUCGGAGGAUGAGAUCAGACAGAAAGUUUUAUCGCUGAGUAAUCAAGAUAAACGUCUCAGCGGCAGCUCAGAAACUCAGUCUACACAAGGACAAUCAUCAAAAGCCCGUCCAGCUUCUGAUUCCUCAGCGUCCCCUGAGUCUCUCUUCUGUCUAGAUGAGCUUGAUUCUCUCUUCUCCUACUUUAACACCUCUGCCAAGCCACGUAGUUUGAAAAGUACAGACAGUGAAACACAGAAUCUUGCAGAUGGAAACAGAGAAACUCUGAACGCAACCAACACACACGACACAGAAGUCACAGAGCCUCAGGCUGAAUGUGCUGCUGGAGAUCUGCCGGUGUACUCUGAGCCGAAUCACUUGACCCCGGGUCUACAGCUGUACUGGGCAUCAUUCUCCCGCAGUCUGCCUGAUAUGGCUGAAGCUCUCGCGCAUGGAGCCCAUGUUAACUGGAUCAACACGGACGAUGAUAACCGGACGCCCCUCAUCAUGGCCGUUCAUGGGGGAUCUCUGGUAACUUGUGAAUUCCUGCUUCAAAAUUCAGCCAGUGUGAAUCAGCAAGACAAUCUUGGCAGAGGGCCUUUACAUCAUGCUACUAUACUGGGCCAUACAGGGCAAGUGUGUUUAUUCCUAAAACGAGGAGCCAAUCAGAAUGCAGCAGAUGCUGAGAAUAAAACCCCAUUGUCUAUUGCAGUGGAUGCAGCAAAUGCAGACAUUGUCACAUUGCUUCGAUUGGCCAAGAUGAAUGAAGAGAUGCGUGAAUCAGAGGGUCCAUACAGUCAGACAGGUCAUUAUAACUCUAACAGUCCUACUGAAAUACAGUACAGAAAGUGUAUGGAAGAGUUUAUUAACUUACAACUUGGAGACUCCUAACACUUCUACAGUAUGUUAGGCCCAAAUCAUAAACACCUGUAUCAUAUGCAAAAUAUCUGUGAAUGUACAAAGCAGGUAUAUGGAGCUGGGCUUCAUUUAACCCCAGGAUGGGUUCAUCUAGUAUUUUAAUAUAAAACAUCAAACAAACAGUAGGUCAAAAUCUGUUAACACUGGAACAAGUGCAAUAAAUAGCUUUGUGAAUUUGAUGUAAAUAGUAUUGAACGCAUAUGCCUUAUGAAUACAUUAUUUCCAGUGUUUAAAAAUGUGUUCUUAUGCAAAUAUUGUCUGUGUCUAAUAGUACAGUGUUAUCAAUUGAAUCUGCCACACCUCAUAAGUUAGGUUAAAAAUUAUAUUAAAUUGAAAUAAUUGAAAUGACAAAGAGUUACAUUUACUGAAUUAACAUUCUGGAAAAUCUUGGAAAAUUAAGCAAUUUUUAUAGAUUGCAUUUCAAACAGCUUUAUUUCGCAGACUUAAAAACGUUUAGUUGUGUAAACUUAAAAAAAAAACACUUGUAUGCUAAUAUCUAAAGUUUUUUUUUUUACUUUCUGAAAGGAUUGCUAGUAAAUAUACUACAUUGCAUUCAGAAAGUAUUCAGACCCCCUCAACUUUUUUUAUUUUGUAAUGUUGCAUCCUGAUACUGUAAAAAAAUUUAUGAAUCUGCAGUCAGUAGCCUACCCAAUAACAAUGAAGUGAAAACAGAAUUUUAGACAUGUCUGCAAAUUUAUUGAAAAUAAAAACUAAAAUUUCAAAUUUACAUUAUUUAGACCCUCUUUGCAACAACACUUAAAUUUUAACUCAAAUUCCUCCCAUUUUUCUUGGUUGUUGUUGAGGUGUUUCUGCAUCUUGACUCAAGUCAUCCUGUGGUAAAUUACAUUUAUUGGGGUUGAUUUAAAAAGGCACACACCUCCAUUAAUUUUAAUUAUGUUUCCUUAAAUUCAGAUUCAAAUUUGUAUUCUGCCUCCUUGUUGCUACCUCAGUUUAAUUUAAUACAAAUACAGGAAUUUAAAUAUAUAGAAAAAUGUAUUUACAAUUCAGUUCUGAAUAGCACAGACGUUUGUCUGGCACUUUCCUAAUACAGAACAUUUUAUUUGAUGUAAAUUAAGCUGUCUAGAGUUGUUGACAUCAGAUCAUAGAGAUUUAAUUUACCCUUGAAUAAUAAUAAUUGUGAAUAGUUAACAUAUUUAUCAUAUAUUUAUAAGAGUUUUAUUUGUUUUAUUUUAAGAAAUUUAAAAAAAAAUUAUUUUUGUAGAUUAUUUUAUGUAGCAGACUUACAAAUGCACAUUAGUACAAAGUUUACAGAUAUAAUGUACAAAAAACACAUUGUUAUAUUUAUAUAAUUAUACCUGGUAUAAAAUUAUACUAUUAUUUAAUAUUAUUUUUUGAUAAAUGUUUAAACAAAUGUAAAUCUAAUGAGAGUUUGUUUAGUUAUAAACGUAAGAAAAGAAAAUUUCACCAAUAUUAUGUUUUUAUGAAUGUAAUUGUUUUGUUAAUUUUAUUUUGUCUAAUGUAAAUGCCAAAUUGUAUAGGAUAUGUUUAUAGAUUCACUGCUUAAAUUAUAAUAGUUUAGCUAAAAUAUCUGGGCUGCAAGUGUUCGUUUUAGUCACAGAGGGGUGCAGUAGAGCAAGACGAUUCAUGAAACGGGCACAUACUGUAUAAAAUACAAUAUUCAGUGCAAUGUAGGAAGAUUGUGAAUCGCAUAAUAGCGCAGUCAAUAAUUCCAAUAUGUAUUCACCGUAAAAACAAUUAAAAUCUUGAUUUAUGGUGAUGAGUUGCUGUAAUUUUUAAAAUAAAGUUCAAAUAAAGUUACAGUAAAUCCAAGUUGAUUAUACAUAAACAUUUUUAAUCCAAAAACAUAUCCAAAAAAAUAAUUCUAAGCAGCUUUGAUUUUUUUCCUUUUUUAUUUGGAAACGUUUGUAACAUCAUGUUUUAAAGUAGGAUCAGUACACAUUAAGCUUAAACAACAGUAGGUUUGGUGUCAGUAAGCACCGAAUAUAAUGCCAUGCAGUAAAUAGUGUCAGUUUAACAUUUCUCUAAAUAAACACUUAACUACAGUGUUUCUAUGCACGUAUUUAAUGUAACAAAUAGCCAGAUAUAUAUAUAUAUACACUUUACAAGCUUUUCAAUUCUGCAAAUAUCUACAUUUCCCUCUUUUCUGCUUCAUUCACCUGCUGUCUUCUGAGCUUCUCCUCUGAAGUUUUGCAGGUGAUGAAACAUACCAGGAUAUUUUCCAAGACUUUUCACAUAUGGCAUCAAAUGAUCCAGAUAAACUCAAUCGAUAUACAUAAGUGAAGUUUGGGUGAUAUGAUUGAUGUGCAUUUUUUAUUGGGAUAGCUGCAGAAUAUUGCAUGUAGUGUAAAGUAUUAAUUGUAUUCAUGUAAAUGUUGUAUUUCCAUUAUGCAAUGUGGUAUUUUUUAUUUGAAAUGUAGUACCAGUCAGAUAGUUUAGUUAAAAAUGUAAGAUGUCUUUGAAAGGUUUUGUCAUGAAAUCAGUAUCUUUGCCCAUGUAUUAGUUUGGGUGACAGAUUAUAUUGCACUCAUAGUCUUAUUGUAAUGUGCUGUUUUUUUGUAAAUUAUCAUAUGUUUCAUAUAGAGUUUAUUCUUACGUUUAUCUAUAAAUGAUCAGUAAAUAAUGGGAGUAUUUGUAUGCAUCUUUUCAAGAAGCACAGUAACCAUUCUUGUAUAAAUGUUCACAUGGAAUUGUGACAAUUUAUGUAAAAAUUGUUUUACAAACAACUUGCACAUAAUUCUUCUGUUUAGAAUGACAACCAUUUCUAGUUAUCAACUAUGGCUCAUUUGUAGCUGUGACCUACUUUGUAGGAAUAUAUUAUGUAUACAAGUUUACAACAAACACAUUUUAAAAUUGCAUGCAUUUUAUGUCCGUUGCAUGUUUGUUUUUUUGUUGCUAUUUGAUAUGUUCUUGAGCAUUUUUGAAGAGAAAUGCAUGAUGUUUUUUGCAUGUGCAUCCCACUCCCGCAUUGAUUUUUUUAUAUGUACAAAAAGUAUACAGUAAAACAUGAUCAUAUCACAGUGUAUGGGAUGUAAAUUGUGUAAAUUCUGUACAUACAUAAUCUUGGGCAGGGUUGUUUAUUUUGUGGUACUUUUAGGUGUAUUUUUAUUCAGUAUUGAGUACUUUGUAAUCAUCCUGUAUUUGAUUUCUGCAAUUUUUAAGUUUAUUGUAUCUACUGCAAUUGUUUGACUGAAAUUAUCUCAAAAUAUAUUAUGAAUAGAUUUUUGUGAUUUUUUUUUUUCUUUUUCAAAUAUAAAGCAUUGUAACUUUAUAUAAAGUACUGUAUCCAC